AUGCUGGGCAUGAAAUCAGGUUGCGCGGUUUUACAGUUCUCUUCUGGAUUGGGCCUUGCGCCUCUUCAUGGGAAGUGGUGGGACUCGCGCGAGGUUGCCAGUAAGAGAAUUGCUGAAUAAGGAGUAUGGCCUCGCGCACGGCCUUGAAGAAGGUUUGCGCGGCUUUUUUGGGGCCAUACCCCUUCAGAUUUUUAACUUUCUUUUUUCUUAAACAAGAUAAAACAAACAUUAAUAAAAUAUAACACGUGAUAAAAAUCCAUAAUCAACUAUAGCAUCAUAUUUGAUCGAGCACAAUCCUGCUUUAAAUAACUUAAUUCGCAUGAAAUAUUUUCUUGUACUCAUAAGCCUUCAGAGAGUAUAAAUGUGUGUGUAUAUAUUGUUUUGAUAUCAUCUCAUUGUUUAAGAUUAUACCAUCAAUUUUCUCUCAUACACUUUUAGCAUCUUUUGAAUCUUUUACACUAAAUUAAAAUAAGUAAGAUUAACGAGUUGAUAAUGACAAAAUUAAAGAGGAUGUCCACACCCAUUAGCCUCUCAUUGGUGUUCGCUUUUUUAUUACUUC
rnacentral:lncRNA from 1 species